ACCGGGGAAACCCGGUGAUCUGCCCGAAGUGCUGGGCGAUUGAGCGGGUAUGUACACCCGGUUUGACCUACCGUCCCAAGACGGGGCUACCGCCUUCGGGCAGAUCCUCAUCCUGUU
rnacentral:sRNA from 3 species